UGGGCUGCGGUGUCUGCGCAGCGUCGGCGGUAGCGGGGGCCGCGGCGAGGCGGGCGGGAGGCAGCGCGGGCCUAGCGGUCAGCCGCAACCGAGCGUCGUCUGGGCACUGCCCGUCGCCGAGCCACACGCCGUGCCGGCUCGGGCCGGCGCGCGCCGGUCCCGGAGGCGCAGGCUACCUACUUGAAGUCAUGAAUCCUGUUUAUAGCCCUGGGUCUUCUGGGGUUCCCUAUGCAAAUGCCAAAGGAAUUGGAUAUCCAGCUGGUUUCCCUGUGGGCUAUGCAGCAGCUCCUGCCUAUUCUCCUAACAUGUACCCUGGAGCGAACCCUACCUUCCAAACAGGU
rnacentral:lncRNA from 1 species